rnacentral:rRNA from 1 species
UCCGGUUGAUCCUGCCGGACCUGACUGCUAUCGGAUUGAUACUAAGCCAUGCGAGUCAUUGUAGCAAUACAAGGCAUACGGCUCAGUAACGCGUAGUCAACCUAACCUAUGGACGGGAAUAACCUCGGGAAACUGAGAAUAAUGCCCGAUAGAACACUAUACCUGGAAUGGUUUGUGUUCCAAAUGAUUUAUCGCUAUAGGAUGGGACUGCGGCCUAUCAGUUUGUUGGUGAGGUAAUGGCCCACCAAGACUAUUACAGGUACGGGCUCUGAGAGGAGUAGCCCGGAGAUGGGUACUGAGACACGGACCCAGGCCCUAUGGGGCGCAGCAGGCGAGAAAACUUUGCAAUGUGCGAAAGCACGACAAGGUUAAUCCGAGUGAUUUGUGCUAAACGAAUCUUUUGUUAGUCCUAGAAACACUAACGAAUAAGGGGUGGGCAAGUUCUGGUGUCAGCCGCCGCGGUAAAACCAGCACCUCAAGUGGUCAGGAUGAUUAUUGGGCCUAAAGCAUCCGUAGCCGGCUCUGUAAGUUUUCGGUUAAAUCUGUACGCUUAACGUACAGGCUGCCGGGAAUACUGCAGAGCUAGGGAGUGGGAGAGGUAGACGGUACUCGGUAGGAAGUGGUAAAAUGCUUUGAUCUAUCGAUGACCACCUGUGGCGAAGGCGGUCUACCAGAACACGUCCGACGGUGAGGGAUGAAAGCUGGGGGAGCAAACCGGAUUAGAUACCCGGGUAGUCCCAGCUGUAAACUAUGCAAACUCAGUGAUGCAUUGGCUUGUGGCCAAUGCAGUGCUGCAGGGAAGCCGUUAAGUUUGCCGCCUGGGAAGUACGUACGCAAGUAUGAAACUUAAAGGAAUUGACGGGGGAGCACCACAAGGGGUGAAGCCUGCGGUUCAAUUGGAUUCAACGCCGGA